AAUAUCCUAGAUACAAAUCGUAAGUGAAAUAGGAAAGAAAAUAAGACAUCCCAAGCACUUCAGGAAACCUAAUAAUUCUGCUUUUCCCGCAUGACCACAUACCUACAAAUACAAAUUUCUGUCUUCAAAAUUCUAUGUAAAGGGAGACUCUAGGACUGAUGUGCAUCACCACCUGCAUGAACAUGCACUUACCAGUGCAUGUUUCUUCCAUUCCGUGCUGUCAUCCAAAACUUUUCA
rnacentral:lncRNA from 1 species